CCCCAGACUCCUACGGGAGGCAGCAGUGGGGAAUAUUGCACAAUGGGGGAAACCCUGAUGCAGCGAUGCCGCGUGGAGGAAGAAGGUUUUCGGAUUGUAAACUCCUUUUAUCAGGGACGAUAAUGACGGUACCUGAAGAAAAAGCUCCGGCUAACUACGUGCCAGCAGCCGCGGUAAUACGUAGGGGGCAAGCGUUAUCCGGAUUUACUGGGUGUAAAGGGUGCGCAGGUGGCAGGGCAAGUCAGAUGUGAAAGCCCGGGGCUCAACCCCGGUAUUGCAUUUGAAACUGUCCGGCUAGAGUGCAGGAGAGGUAAGCGGAAUUCCUAGUGUAGCGGUGAAAUGCGUAGAUAUUAGGAGGAACACCAGUGGCGAAGGCGGCUUACUGGACUGUAACUGACACUGAGGCACGAAAGCGUGGGGAGCAAACAGGAUUAGAUACCCCCGUA
rnacentral:rRNA from 1 species